AUCUAGCUGAUGAGUCCCAUAUAGGACGAAACGCGGGUCAAACUAGAU
rfam:Schistosoma mansoni strain Puerto Rico chromosome 1, complete genome